CGUUAUCCCCAGGUUACUGAGGAGCCAGAGGUGGCCGGGAGCUCCAGGCUGAAAUUGUGCUGAGCUCUGGGGACUCUGGGAGAGAUUGGUGUGGGCGGUCCCAGAGCCACAGCCCUUCCCUGGCGCUUGCGGCUGGCCCCUAGGCAGGCCACUCGGCUCGACAGGAGGCACCUGCUUCAUCCAACCUUCCAGGACCCACCUGUGUCUCUAGGCCUCGCUCCUCAACUCUGGACGCCAGGGAGUACCAUCCAGAGUCUCUGAGAUCCUUCUCCAGAAAGAUCAGGUGGCCUUGCACGUCCCCCGAGCGCGGGUCCAGCUUCUCGUUGAGCUCCUUCACCUGCUGCACCAGGAUCUUGUUGAAGGCCUCGCCGUGGGGCUCCACGCUGCU